AGAGUUUGAUAUUACAGAAUUUUAGAGGGAGGAGCGGAGACCGGCUUUAACAAGGUGACCCCUGAGAAAUACACAGCGCGUCUGUUUAACUUCUGUGGCACCAGGAAACACGUGGAGGUCAAGCAUGUUCCACGAUGUGAAAGUCGCUUGGACAGUGGAGAUGUUUUUAUUCUGGAUCUUGGUUUGACUAUUUAUCAGUGGAACGGUAAAAUCAGCAACAAAGACAAGAGAAUGAAGGCCAUGCAGUACAUCCUUAAACUAAAAGACGAGCGGAAUGGGAAAGCUCGUUCAGAAGUUCUGGAUGACGGGUUGUUAUCAAAGGACGUGAGUAUGG